rnacentral:lncRNA from 1 species
UUUCAGGUCAUGUUUCCAAAGGACAUUCAACAACUGACUAUUGAUAAUAAUGAUGAUGCAACAAGUUUAUGUGAUUUUUUAUCUCUAAUAAAGAAUGCAACUGAACUGGAGGCUAUCGAGAUUUUUAGUUGCAAUAGCAUGGAGAGCUUGGUUUCAUCUUCUUGGUUCCACUCUGCUCCACUACCGUCUCCAUCUUACAACGGUAUAUUUUCUGGUCUUAAGAAGUUCUUUUGCUCUGGAUGUAGUAGUAUGAAGAAGUUGUUCCCUCUUGUCUUGCUGCCAAACCUUGUAAAAUUAGAAGAGAUUACAGUUACAAAAUGUGAGAAGAUGGAGGAGAUAAUAGGUGGAACAAGAUCAGAUGAAGAAGGGGUUAUGGGUGAAGAAAGCAACAUCAACAAUGAGCUCAAACUCCCAAAGUUAAGAUUUCUGACAUUAAAGGGAUUACCAGAACUGAAAAGCAUUUGCAGUGCAAAACUGAUUUGCGAUUCUAUCGAAGUAAUUGAAGUAGAAAAUUGUGAGAGGAUGGAGGAGAUAAUAAGUGGAACAAGAUCAGAUGAAAAAGGGGUUAUGGGUGAAGAAAGCAGCAACAACAACAAGCUCAAACUCUCAAAGUUAAGAUGUCUGACAUUAAAUAGAUUACCAGAACUGAAAAGCAUUUACAGUGCAAAAUUGAUUUGCGAUUCUCUCAAAAAUAUUGCGGUUUUUAAUUGUGAGAAGCUGAAAAGGAUGCCAAUUUGUCUUUCGUUGCUUGAAAAUGACCAGCCAUCUCCCCCCCCCCCCUUCUCUUAAAACAAUAAUUGUAGAUCCAGAAGAAUGGUGGGAGUCAGUAGUGGAAUGGGAGCAUCCUAAUGCUAAGGAUGUCCUUCGUUGCUUUGUAAUGUUUGUGGAUGGAGGAUGAGUGACGACAUUGCCCUUAAUAUAAUAUUAAAUUAAGAGUAAGCAUGGUUGUUUUAAUUGGAUUAAGCUUAAGCUAUGUGUCUACUUAACGACUGAUGUGUUUAUUAUAUUACCAGGUUUGACCUGGAAGACAUUUAUUUAGAGAGUACAACAUCAAAUGCAAGAUGUUUUUUUCUUCUCUAUCAAAAUCUGACCACUCUUUUUCCUCUCUAGAAUUAGAAAUCUAAAACUAAAAAAAAUAAAGUUUUAGACUAAAAUUGUAUUUUCAAAAAUUUAAGGGAUUUAAUAUUUAUAAUUUGAAAAGCAUGAGGACCAAAAUAAACUUUUCACGCUAAUUUUAAAAUUACCACCCAUUUUAUCCAUAUCUUUUAAUUUGAUUCUUUUUUCUUUCAAUCGUAUAUGUGCUCAACAAAUUUAAAGUAAUUGUGUUUAAAUUUAGUGAGUACAUUUCCUAUAAUAAUGCAAGCGCAUGAAUAGUGUUUUGGUUCUGCAUUGUAUAUGCCACGACGCACUGAAUUUCCUAUAAUAAUUAGAGUCAUAGCAAUUUGCAAGCAACUUUAUGGUUUUUUGAUCUAAAGGAAUAGACUGAACCAUAUUCACCUAAUCCUCAGAAAAAAAUGUGUCGAAUUGUCAAGAACACCAGAAUGUUCUGCCUUCGGUGUCGUCUGCACUUGAUGAAUUGAAAUACCAAAUGCAUAAAGAAUGGGAAAUUUUAUGAUUUUACAAUCUAUUUUUACAAUUUAAAUUUAUAUUAUAUUUUUCAUGUCAUAUGAAAAAUAUAUUCUUAACAAUUUUGAUUACAUUCAAAGCAGCACGUCAUCAUCUUUUCAAUGGUGUUACGCAUGCUUGUGACAAAUGUGUGGUUUGACCUCUACCACAUCUUUUAUCUUCUCCUUAUUUUGUCUCUCUUUUCAUUACAAAAAUGAAAAUUUGUACUUUUAUUUGGUUUUUAUAUUUAAUUUACUUUUUAUAUUUUUAAUUGCUAUAUAUUUUAUUUUAUUUUAAAAGUUUUUUCUUCAAUUUCAUACCUAUCAAUCUUUUAAUUGCUAUUUUUUAAUUAUUUUUCUAAUUGAAUUUUGUUUUCAAUUUAAUCUUUUAGCACUUGAUUUCAAAAUAUUUUUAUAUCAAAUUUAGUCAUUAUUAUUAUUAUUUUGUUUUGAAGCCUUUUAUAUUGCAUUUUUUUUUCCAAAUUCAUCCCUCACGAUUUUGUUGAUUUAUAAUUUUGCUUUUUUAUUUUUUAGAGUUUGUCUUCUAUGUGGUUGGUCUGUAGCUCACGAGCUUUUUUUAUUGCAUUUUUAAAAAAAUCUAUCUCACUAAUUUGUUGAAUAUGAUCUAUAUUUUAGGCUUUUUUUUUGUUAAAUUGAUUUUUUUUUCAUCUUUAUACAUUUGAUUUAUUGGAGAUUAGUUUUCGUAUUUUUAUUUUUAUUUUUUUUAUGUUUAAUUAUCUCAAUCUUGAAAAAGAUUUAACUUAGAAUGUGAAAAAUCUUAAAUAUUACAGUGCACUAAUAUUGCACUAUCAAACAAGUGACACUAUUCACCACUUGAAGAGCAUCAAAUAUCAAUGAAUUUUAAUUUGAUGUAUAAAUAUCUAAAAUAAAUUUUAAAUUAUCCAAUUUAUAUUUUUUUUUUUAGAUUAAUUUUUUUAAUGUUUUUAUAUUAUUUUGAUGUAUAAAUAUCUAAAAUAAAUUUUAAAUAUAAAAAAAUAGUUUAAAAUAAAAAAUAUUUUAAAAACAACAUCAACACAUACCAUGAAGAAUUUACACCAGUGGUUCGUGGAAGAUGCAGCCAACUUUCUCUGCUUAAUGUUCAAUGUAUCUCAUCAGUCCAAAACACACUUCAUUUCACAGUAUCCUUUUCAUGGAUACAAUGAGUUGCUAGGGAAGAUUACGUUGUUCACUGGUAAUUUUUUUGCCAUUUCACUAAUAUAAAUUUUGUUACUGUUCAAAAAAGAAUACAAAAAAAAUAAAAAUUAAUGGUAGCUUGACAUACUUAUGGAAUAGACUGAACCAUAUUCACCUAAUCCUCAGAAAAAAAAUGUGUCGAAUUGUCAAGAACACCAGAAUGUUCUGCCUUUGGUGUCGUCUGCACUUGAUGUGGGAACAAAAAUGCCAGUCAUGGCUCUCAGAAAACAAAAAAGAAAACACCCAAAAACAUGCCAGCCCCCACGGUUUUGAUUGAGCUACAACAUGGGCAAGCAUUCACAAGUCCAGCCAUUGGUUUCCUAACUGGUCAAAAUUCAUGUUUCACUUGCUCCAGACUCUUUUCCUAGUUGAGUUGGAAAUAGAUGGCAAUGAGAAGCAAGGUGAAUGAAUUAGGGGGGUUGUCCUAGACCAUGAACAGAUAUUUGAGAUCUUCCACGGUGAGACGAGUAGCUGAACCCCCACUUUGAUCUUUGCCAAAUGCAGAUGCAACCAUUUUUCUCUUCUCUUCCUGCAAAUUGUGCUCAUCAGCAAAGAAAAUUAUGUUUGAAAAUCACGGUCAAGAUCUUGAAUAUAAGAACGCAGAGCACAUACAUGCAAAAGUAUUAGAUAAUAAAUAGAUCACACUUGAAGAUUACAAGUAAUGUUCUCAUUGUCAUUUAACUGUCGUGCCCAUCUACCACCCUGGAAAUGCAAUGUGUUGUCUUCUUGAUAAGUUUAAUGAGAUUAACAUGACUGUCAAGCAUUAACUUGUACGAGUAGCCAUUUCCAGAGGAAAUUUUGAAUGGUAAUGCUCUUUCCAAAUUUACCAUUAAAAGUCACUUCUGUUGGACCAUAAUCAGCCAAUAACCUUUUUCUUUCAAUAUGCACCUUCCACCUUCAUGUGAUGUACUCAUAUUUCAUUGCAAUUAUCAUUAAUCCUGAACGUUUAUCUCUAAUCACCUCCAUAUAUAUGAGAUAAUUCUCUUGAUUUAUAAUGCGAAAGGCAUAACAUACCUCAACAUAUAUAAAUUAACAGAAUCCCCAGUUGUUUUGUUCAGGGUUUCACUAUUUCUCUUUUUAACCCUAGGAACAUCUUGAUCCAGACCCUCCAGGAAUCGAAGGGCAAGAAUAAGAUUAAACAGUUAUCCAAAUAUGCAAGACAGAAUCAACGCCAGUAGAAAGAAAUAAUACCUGAAGAGAUAAUAUUCAAUCUUUUAUAGUAAGUCAUGUUACUGUAACAAGACAAGUUUCUAUGAGCUCGAUCGAACAGCCUGAUAUUGUAUUUUUAUGUUAUUUAGAAUUAAUGGAUGUUGAUGUAUUUUGUAUCCAAGAACUUCAGAGCUCGAAUUGUAAUGACAUCCUGUAACGUAAGUACUUGUACGUGAAUUUUAGUAUAACAUGUAUGUGGCCUUAUGUGUGCUGUUUCUGCUACUUAGAUAUUAACUAAUAUUCCAUGUUAAGACAUAGUUAUUGAAUAUUACGUUUGUAUUUUUAGAAUCUACUUAGAUCCAGGGGCUCUGUCAAGGUUGCUUUCUUUCUACAAACCAAAUCACUUAUUCACGAUCCCCAGAUCAUAACAAAUAAUCAGUUGAUUAAUCGGAUAAUAAAACUAAAUUAGUGCCUCUUAGCCUGCUUCUUCUUAGCUUCGGUUGGCUAUUCAACAACUUGAGCAUCUAAAUCAUAACAAGCAAUUAAAACCCAAUAGCAAAUGACAAAAAUAAUUGCCUUAUUAUGCAAAGAUUAUGGAACUGAGCUAACCCGAAGUCAUCUUGACUUUACCAUCAAGGCUACAGCCGUGGAAACUUAUAAGAGCCACCGGCACAUCCUCCUCGCACUCUCCACUGCAUGUAUCGAUUCAAAAAACAAAAAACAUGAAUUACUUCAGUAAUUUCUGUAAAGCCCAGAAAACGAAUUUGUUGAAAAAACAACUGGUACCUCAAUUUCUUAAAAAAUUCAAAGAGCUCAUAUGUUUAGAUCCCAAAAUCAAGCCAAUAAGACAAAAUACAAAAAAUCCAAAAAUAUCUUAAAAUACAAAGAACCGUGAUUGAAAACCCAAAAUCAAACCACGAAGACAAAUUUAGAAACAUCCAGAGCAUAAUUUGUUCAAAAAGCCAACCGGGUUACUCAAAUUCUUAAAAGAAAUCAAAGAACCCAUAAUUUUAAACCCCAAAAUCAAUUCAAGAACACAAAAUUAGAAAAAACCAGGAAAAAACUCGAUAAGAAAAGAAAUAAAUCAAAGCCAGGUUUCUUGAAAAUCUCCAAAUUCAAAUUAAUAACACAAAAUAAGAAAAACCCAAAACAUUAGAAGAAAAAAAAGAAGAAGGAACGCGAGUAAAUACCAUUUAACAAAACCAUUGCCAUCUUUAGCACGAACAAGUGAAGCAGCAGCAGUAUUAGCAUACCCAUCAGUAGGCUCAGCGUCUCCUCUUUUCCUCGUCAUUUCUUCUUCUUCUUCCUGGUGAGAGAUUUUAACAACGGGUAGAAAGGGGUCUAUAAUAGGAAAAGUGAAGAUAAAAGGAGACGGAAAUCUCAGUUAUGACGGUUAUAAAAUGGCGCCAAGUGGUCGGUUUUGGUAUGAGAGGGAAAUGAUUUGGACAUGGACAGAUGAGUUGGAAUACUUACCCACCAUUGGAUUUUUCUCUUGUUCUUAUAUCAACGACUCAGAUUGAAUCUCUCAUUUUCGGCUCGCCCUUGAAGAAACUCUUGCAAAGUACAUGGUCCAAAAGUUAGAGGUAUUUAAGAUGAUUAAUUACUUAUAAACCAUAGUUUCAUCUUUAUGUUAUUAAAUCUUCUUUUUUAUCCUAUGGUCAAAUGUAUUUUUGGAUUAACUUCAUCACUGAUUUAUAUUAAAUCUAGUUUUUUUAGUGAUUAAGAAUGUAUUUUUAAUAUUAGUCGAUCUAUAUUAAGGGCAGUGAGGUGUUGAAGUGACCCACUAAACUGUUACUUUGGUACAAGGAAGAGAAUGCUAGAAUUUGAACGAGGGUAGUUAUAUAAUACACCACGUAAAAGUCAAUAACAUCUUUUGUACGAGAUCGUGAAAAGAAGACAGCAACCACGCUUAGUUAACUCCAUACUCUAAAUUUCGAACCAGUUAACUUUAAAUUUAAAUUUUAAAUUGAAAAGUUUUGAGAUAGACUCAAAAGAAUUUAUAUCAAAUAAUUCUUGUCUUCCGUUGCUUGAAAAUGGACAGCUAUCUCCUUCCCCUUCUCUUAUAUUAAUGUAUAUAAAACCAGAAAAAUGGUGGGAGUCAGUAGUGGAGUGGGAGCAUCCUAACGCUAAGGAUGUUCUUCAUCCCUUUGUAAAGUUUUUGGGACCCGACAUGGACGAGUUAUCCCCCAAAGUGAUGCCCUUCGCCUCUUUGCAAGGUGUUUUGUUGGAGAAUGAGUGACGACACCACUUACCAAAAUGAUAAAGAACAAGAGGCGUUGAAGUUCAAUAUCAACAUCAACUAGGAUUUAGAUUAAUAAAAUUUAAAGUGUGUAAGAGUUUUAAUAUUGGUUAAAGGAGGAAUUUUAAUUAAUGUAGGAAUUCUUGAUGAAAAAAGAUUUAUAAUAGAAUAGUUUAUUAGAAUCAUCAUUAAUUAAAUAGAAUAUUAGAUUAUAAUUUUCUUUGAGUAGUUUAAUUCCUAAUUAUUUAGGACUUGAGAUUUAUAAAUAAGUUUAUAAUCAGAAGCACAAAACACAAAUUAAGAGAAAUAUAAAGAAAAGCUGGAAAGAUGUAUUUUUUAAGAAAACUUUUAAUAAAAUAUUAUUCAUCUCACUCUUUUUCUUAUUCUUUAGCUUCGUUUUUUUUUUAUAUAUAUAUUUGUUUUUUAAAAUUAAAUACCGCAUCCUAUUCUUCUUUUCUAACAAGAGGUGCUUCAUGGACGAUGACAGUGAGGCGGAUGCUUUACUAAAGCCAAUGGACGUCUAUAUAUAUACACAACAGCACUUGUUUCCACACUUGCUUGCUAAUUAUUACUUGUGAUGAAUCUGUGUAUAUUGGGAAAGUUGGUUCUGAAAGAUUUUACCGUUGAAGACGAGGCUGGUGGUGCUGGCAUAGCCCUUGCAAAGACAUUCAUUGCAACAGUAAUCAAUUUUUUUAACAAUUUACUUAGGCUACCAAAUUAAUUAAUCAAUUCUCAUUAUAUUUUUCUUUGAAGAUUUGAAAUAUUGUAUAUGAAUUCGCUAACUCUUCAACACUUUCCUGUCAACUAGAAUUACUCUGUUCAAUAUUCUCUAAAAGAUACUGAAAACAGAACAGAGCUUUUUCAGUAAGAAAUUCGGCUUAGAGGAAGACUAGCUAUUAAAGUCAUUGCAAUUUGCAAGCAACUUUAUGUUUUUUAUACACUAAAGAAAUAAAACAGAGAUUCCAUAUUUAACAAAGACUCGGGAUAAAACUAUCUCCUUCCUUGUUAGAGAGGGCUCUGACGUUCUGGCACACUGUAACUUGCAGAUCCGUUUGGCUUUUGCACUUGCACCAAGGAGAUACACAUAGGAUGAAAUCUUUAAAUCUUAACCGGUCAUUCAACAUUUUUUUUUAUAUAUAGUGUAUCUCAAAAAACCAUCUCAAUAUAUAACUUAAGCUGUUAAGUAAUAUUUCAAGAUAUAAUUUAUAUUAUUCUCUAACACAUCUUUUCAUGUUAAAGUUCUUUAGGCUUGAAACUUGUACAUAUUCAUACUACAUUGUGUUUAAUUUUUAUUAAAUAAAUAGAGAUGGUGAUAUUUAAAUUCAUGACCGCUUGGUCAUCAAGGCUCUGAUACCACGUCAAGAACCAUCUUAACCCAAUAACUUAAGCUAUUAGGUAAGGUUCUAAAAUAUAAUUUAUAUUAUUCUCUAACCGUUUUAUACUUUGAGAUUAUUGGGAAAUUGUAGCUGUGAUUGUGUAGACUUGCGUUAUCGGAUUGUGUAAGCUUGUGUUAUCAUUUAAUCUAACCGAAUUGACAUGAGGCUUAAUUUGUUUCUUUCUUUCUUUCUUAAGGUUUUCUUAAAUUAUCUUGGAAUUGUAUGUCUCUUGGCUCCACGGGUCAGAGGUGAGGGUAUAGUUAGUGAUAUUCACUUUGAGCUGUGGACUCCCCAUUACUUCAACUGAUUGGUUUUUGUUUGACCACAAGAUAUUGAUUGUUGAGGGAAAUUCCAAGGACGCAUUGGGGUCAGGACUUUUACAUGCUGCAUGCUUCUAAGACAAAUUAAAAAUGUUUCAGUUCAUUUAAUUUAUUAGUUCUAUGUCAUUAAAUAUAUUGCUAUUUCGUGAUCAUUCCAAUUUUCUUGUUGCUGAUGUUGUCCAUUAACUCUCGUAUUUCUUGACUUAUCUAUCAGUAAAAUGAUUAAUGUUUCAAUUUUGAUGCCUGCAUAAUGUAUCAGUAUAAAACACAGCAUUAGUUUUGUUGCUGACAAGGGUCUGAAAAAACCUCUCUAUACCUCUGCACGUUUGAACAAGGGAGGAGUUCUAUAUUUAGAAACACAUUCAUGCAGGUACUCCCUCUUUUUUUCUUUCUUUUUUUUUCUUUUGCGCUUUCUAACUUGAUACCGCACCUAGGUUUUGGAGGCAUAUGGAAAAGAAUCUGCUGAUGUUCUGCUAUCCAUAUGAUUGAUUUUGGCUUACUGACAAUUACUGUGUGGAAACUCGCUAUAAAAUAUUUGAUAUGCAUGUGAAAUCUAUCCGUCAUGAAUGAAUUCUAUAGUAUGUUGAUUUUCUUGGAUUAGUUAAAGGCUAUAAACAGAGUAUUUAACAAUGCGCAGAAGUCUGAAAAACAGGGGAAAACGCAAUGUUCAGUCGCUAUCUGGUGCAUGGGUUGGUGGAGGUAGGGCUGCGUGUAUAAGGGAAUCCACAUAAAUCACACUCAUUAGUGAUUUCCUUCUCUGUCAAUUAUGGAUAAGAAAUGAUCCCUUUUUCUUUUCUUUUUUUCUGAGAAGAAAUAAUGAUCCAUCUUAAAGGCCUUCAGAUUUCAACACAUGAAGGGAUGCAUGCAUAUCUCAGGAAUUAACAAUGGUGGAGGGAUAACUUUUAAUUGACACUGAUUUCUUGACAAAACGCACCGUACUAAGCUGCUGUUAGCCGUUGCUUACGCGCACCGUUUCAAAAAAUGAAUGAGAACUGCUGUGGAUUCCCUCUCUUCUCUCCGUCUCUCUCUCUCCCGCUCUCUCCUUCUCUGUCUUCUCAAUCUUUCUGAUUCCACUGAGUUCAACACAGAUUGGAGGAUUCUUAAUCGGGUUGUUACCUAUAGAUCGUACGUGAUCUUAUACAAAUGUGAUGUAUAUAUGCAGGAAUAAUAUUGGUCUCUAAAUGGUUUUAUUUCUUAAAUAAAUCAAAGAAUUUAAGUUAAUCUCUUGGCAGCAGGAUUGAUGAAAAAAUAAAUCAUCUGUAUCAAUGCUCUCCUGACCACUUGGAACACCUUGCUUAAGACAUCAGGAGAUCAAGAUAUUUAAUAUGAAAUUCAACACAAGCUGAUGAUCCCAGUUCUUUGCCAAAAGCAAAUGGUGACAGGAAAGUCAUUAGCGAGCCGAAUUGCUCCUCGGCAUCAUCACUACUAUCAUGAUAAUUGCAUAUGUUCGAUCUAACAGUAGACUCAAUGGUUGAAACAGUAUAAUGUACGUAAACAUGUUGAAUAGUUAGUGUGAAUAAAUAAAGCAGGUGAUUCAUGAAAUUAAAAAUAAUUUGCAUGGUGGUUUCGAGGAUAUAAUUGCAUAUUGGACAAACAAAGUCCCUUUGCAUGGUGGUUUCAAGAGACAGUGGAAGUAACAAUUGAUCUUCAUUAAUUGUUCUGGCUUUUUAAUUAAAAAAAGUACAUAACACUGUUGUUUUAGCAUCUAACAACAGUAGACUCAAGGAUUUGAAGCAGUGUAAUGUGAACACGUUGAAUAGUUAGCGUGAAUAAAUAAAGCAGAAAGUGGCAUGAAGUUUGCAUGGUGGUUUCCAUGGGAGUAAUCAUUGCAUACAGGACAAAGAAAGCACCUAUGUUUUAUUUCUUUAGAGUAAAAAAACAUAAAGCUGCUUGCUAAUUGCUAAUUGCUAAUUGCAAUGACUUUAAUAGCUAGUCUUCCACUAAGAGAGAUCUCUCUCAGUAUACCAUUGAUUUCCUAAUUUCUUAUUUGAUAAAGUUGCUUCCACUAAGAGAGAGAUAUCUCAGUAUACCCUUGAUUUCCUAAUUUCCCUCACCAAAUUUCUUAUUGAUAUUUUAAUAGUUAGUGUGAAUAAAUAAAGCAGAAAGUGGCAUAAAGUUUGCAUAGAGAACAAAGAAAGCACAAGCAGAAAGUGACAUAAAGUUGAAGCUUCCUGCCAAUUUCUAUUGCAAUGACUUUAAUAGCUGGCCUUCCAGUAAGAGAGAUCUCUCUCGGUAUACCAUUGACUUCCAAAUUUCCCUCACCAAAUUUCCUAAACCUUUCUUAGGAUCUGUGCUUCCUUUUUCUGAUUGAAUCGAAUCAUCUCGUUUUGAGUUCUUGAUCUGUAUCUUUCUUGCUUGAAAGGUAAAUCCUACUUUCUUUUCUUGUUUUUCUACCACUAAUUUUGUUUCAAAUAAGAUUUUCCCAUUUGGUUGUAGAAUAAAUAUGUAGGAUUGUAGAUUAAUCAAUCAAGUAGAACUUAAUUAUAUAUGUGUUGCUUGAUCUAUUUUAGAAUUCAAAACUCAUAUUUAGCUUUGUUCUUACAUAUUGCCAUCAACUUCAACUACUUAUCUUAAAAACAGCUGCUCUCAAGGUUUCUUUUGUCUGUUGAGUGCCUCUUGUCAGCUUGACAGGUGACUAGUUAGUUUACCUACUCUUUCUCAAAUUCUUGCGCUUACAUUUUCAGAUCAGCUUUUCCGGCAUUUCAACAUUGAGGUGCGUCCACACGUUAACUCACUCAGCAAUUAGCUUCAGAUUCUUUUGAAUCCUGGUACAGUAUUUAUACUUCAUCUUCUUCAUUUUGUUGCUGUUAUCGUUUUUGACAUGUAACUAUUGUUUGAAUCCUUUUUCUGUAGAGUUGAACUGUGUAAGUUUGGUGUUUUAAUAGUUUGACAUGUAACUAUUGUAGAAAUUUUAUUGAGAAACUUUGGAGUUAGGAUCAUCAAUGUUUUCCAAAUAUAAAUAAAUUGAUCUUUCUUUGUUUUUAUAAUCCUUGCCUUAAGGAGUUCAUACCAAAUUCAUUGUUUUUUCUUUUUAUUUAUUCUAGUCUCAACCUUUCAUUUUCCAAAUAAUUUUAUUCAAUAUUUUGACUCUGUUUUAUAUAUAGGGCAAAAUGGUUCAAUCAACUGACCCAUUUUGGCACCAUGUUGAGGAGAUGAAGUGUAUUUAUUGCGGGCGUCAAUUUCCUAACGAUACUUCCAUUUCAAGGAUCAAAUGGCAUUUAUCAGGAGAGAAAGGGCGUGGUGUUGCAAUUUGUGAAAGAGUUCCUAAACAAGUUCAAGAAGCAGCUUUUCAAGCUAUGCAUGGUGCCAACAAAAGACAUAAAAGCAUAGCAAGUUCAAGCAAUGUUAAUGAUAAUGCCAUUUCAACCACUCCACAAGAACAAAACAAUAAUGAAGUCGACAAUUUGGCAGGAGAUGCAGGAACGACACAAGCAGCGGAUAGAAUGGGUCACCCACCUGGAAGAAGUGUGGAAGAGUUCAGUAGAUGGUUAAUGGAGGAUGAUAUAGAGAAUGGGACUGGAGGAGUAGUGCAGCCUGGUGCAGGAGCUAGCUCUUCUGGAGGGCUUACAUGCAACACAAAUGAGACUCCAGGAGACGCAGUACCAACGACAAAGCUGGUGGGUCAAGCAUUCGAAGACCAUGAGAAGACUAUCUGGUCUUGGUUGAUGCACGAUGAAGUUUCAACUAUUGGCAUCUAUGGGAUGGGCGGGGUGGGUAAGACGACAUUGGUGAAACAUAUAUAUGAUCAACUUCAAAAAAGACGAGACAGUUUUUGUCAUGUUUACUGGAUUACUGUUUCACAAGAUACCAGCAUUAGUAAAUUGCAAAACAGUAUCGCCAGACGGAUUGGUUUAGAUCUUUCUAAUGAAGGUGAGGAGCUGUAUAGAGCUUUCGAUUUGUCAGAAGAAUUAAUGAAGAAACAGAAAUGGGUUUUGAUUUUAGAUGAUCUGUGGAAGGAUAUUGAGCUACACAAGGUCGGAGUUCCUAUCCAAGCUGUUAAGGGAUGCAAACUGAUUCUUACAACACGAUCAGAAAAGGUUUGUCAACAGAUGGAUACCCAACACAAAAUCAAAGUAAGUCCUAUAUUGGAGGAAGAAGCUUGGACUUUGUUUAUUGAGAGACUUGGACAUCAAAUGGCACUUUCUCCAGAAGUGGAACAAAUUGCAAAAUCUAUCACAAAGGAGUGUGCUGGUUUGCCUCUGGGAAUUAUAACAAUGGCUGGAACCAUGAAGGGGGUGGAGGACAUACACGAGUGGAGGAAUGCUUUAGAGGAACUAAAACAAUCAAGACUUUGGCAGGAGGACAUGGAUGAGAAGGUAUUCAAAAUAUUAAGAUUUAGUUAUAUGCACUUAAAGGAGUCAGCACUGCAACAAUGUUUCUUGUACUGUGCAUUAUUCCCGGAAGACUUCGAGAUCCAUAGAGAGCAUGUGAUAGCUUAUUUGAUUGAUGAGGGAGUGAUAAAAGGCAUGAGUAGGAAGGCAGAAUUUGACAAAGGCCACUCGAUGCUUAAUAAACUUGAAAGUGCCUGCCUUUUGGAAAAAGUUGAAUUCGGCAGUCAUUUUAGAUGUGUCAAGAUGCAUGACUUGAUUAGGGAUAUGGCCAUCCAAAUACUGGAAGAUAACUGUCAAUGCAUGGUUAAAGCAGGUGCACGGUUAAGAGAAGUGCCGGGUGCAGAGGAGUGGACAGAGAAUCUUACUAGAGUUUCACUGAUGCAUAACCAGAUUGAAGAAAUUCCUUCCAGCCAUUCACCAUGCUGUCCCAGUCUUUCAACUCUAUUGUUAUGUGGAAAUUCAGAGUUGCAAUUUAUUGCAGAUUCAUUUUUUGAGCAGUUGCAUGAGCUCAAGGUUCUUGAUCUGUCUCGUACAAAGAUCACAAAACUACCUGAUUCUGUCUCUGAAUUGGUGAGUCUCACUGCAUUAUUGCUCAUUGGUUGUGAUAUGUUAAGGCAUGUACCGUCAUUAGAAAAGCUCAAGGCACUGAAGAGGUUAGAUCUCUCUGGUACUUGGGCACUUGAAAAAAUGCCUCAAGGUAUGGAAUGUCUAUGCAACCUGAGGUAUCUUAGAAUGAAUGGAUGUGGUGAAAAGGAGUUUCCUAGUGGGUUGUUACCUAAGCUCUCUCUCCUGCAAGUGCUUAUAUUGGAGGAGCAGAUUCAUCCUACAAGAAAAGGACUGCCUGCUCCGAUAACAGUUAAAGGAAAGGAAGUGGGAUGCUUGAGGAAGUUGGAAACUUUGGUAUGCCAUUUUGAAGGUUACUUAGACUACGUGGAGUAUCUCAAAACUCGGGAUGAAACCAAAUCACUAACCACAUACCAAAUUCAUGUAGGACUACUGGAUAAGUAUUAUAAUCAUUAUUAUGGUGAUUUCAGUAGGAAAACAAUUGUUUUGGUUAACUGGAGUAUCGACAGAGACAGAGAUUUUCAGGUCAUGUUCUCGAAGGACAUUCAACAACUAGGCAUUCAUAAUUGUGAUGAUGCAACAAGUUUAUGCGAUUUUUGGUCUCUAAUAAAGAAUGCAACUGAACUGGAGGCUAUCAAGAUUAGUGAUUGCAAUAGCAUGGAGAGCUUGGUUUCAUCUUCUUGGUUCUGCUCUGCUCCACCACCAUCUCCAUCUUAUAGUGGAAUAUUUUUUGGUCUUAAAGAGUUUAGGUGUUAUGAUUGUAAGAACAUGAAGAAGUUGUUCCCUCUUGUCUUGCUGCCAAGCCUCGUGAACCUGGAA